CCUACGGGAGGCUGCAGUGAGGAAUAUUGGUCAAUGGUCGGGAGACUGAACCAGCCAAGCCGCGUGAGGGAGGAAGGUACAGAGUAUCGUACACCUCUUUUGUCAGGGAACAAAGACUGGGACGCGUCCCCGGAUGAGUGUACCUGAAGAAACAGCAUCGGCUAACUCCGGGCCAGCAGCCGCGGUAAUACGGGGGAUGCGAGCGUUAUCCGGAUUUAUUGGGUUUAAAGGGUGCGCAGGCGGACUGUUAAGUCAGCGGUCAAAGCCCAGGGCCCAACCCCGGACCGCCGUGGAAACUGGCAGUGUCGAGGUGGAGAGAGGUAUGCGGAAUGCGCGGUGUAGCGGUGAAAUGCAUAGAU
rnacentral:rRNA from 1 species